UGGGAGGUUGGAAUCGCUCCCUGUACGGCAGAUUUUUGAUCUCUGUCCCGAGGAUAGAGCCGUGUAUUUGAAGGUUUUAGUCUGAACAAGGACGCUGUAAAAAGAAAGAUGCCACAGAGUUCUCCCCAGAAUAGCCUGCUAGCCUGCUUUUAGGAGCUGUCUCAUGAAAGACUGCAGAGAUGCAUAUUUGCCUUGAUCCUGCUUCCAUUGCCUGGAAACGUCAGUGAUGCUGAGCUCAGCCCCCUCGUGAGAAGAGAAAAAACUGAUCUCAAUAUACUCUAAACACGACUGGAUUCUGCAGGUUGGGCAGCACAUGCUGUGUAAACAUCAGCAGAGUCCAAAUGUCAGUGUGAGGUGAUGAUGUGCAGACAACCUGUGUUCUGUUUGUAGUAAAUGAGAUGAAAGAAAGAACUGUAGAAGAAAGGCCAUAAUGCUUUAUUUUUAUUAUUGUGUACAAUAAGUGAAUCUUUAGCAAUGGAUACUCAGGUUUGCACUGAAGCUUCUGAAACCUGCAGCUCAGAAAGAAAGAGCUUAUAGUGACUGAAUUUGGUACUUAGUUGUUUUGAUUCUAAAAUAAUUGGUGGUAUUAGAAUAGUUUGUGUUACUCUUGAAUUAUAGCAGAGCCCACAGGUGUCUGUGCACACUUCGAUGCAUCUGCAGCACUGCACAGCCUGACUUUGUCCUUAGUUGAUUUGGAUGUGGUGUUUCCUCUUGGGUGAACUCCUGAAGGCAUGGGAGUAUAUCCCAUAGAACACUGAUGUUGCUCUCCAUGCUGUAGGCAGCCAGCUCCAUUGGCCUGACCUGGGGAGUUGCAGUGCUGACCUUGCAGUGCAAUGUAUGUUCUUUCUUUAGUAACAAAACGUGUUUUCCCAACACAUACUGAAUUUUAAAAAGCAAUCGAAUAUAAUUUCUAGGUGGAGUAAUUGAGAUACUGCACAGCUGUUUUUGAAGGGUCUAGAACAGACCCUUGACCUCUGAAUACAGGCAUGAGGCUCACAUCCAGCCAGCAGGAGGGAUGUGCUGCAUCAGUCAUGUCUGGCUGCAUUGUCUCAUUUCCAUCUGGGGAUCCCAUCCAAGGCAGCAGUCAUCACUGUUAAUAUUCAGCUGCUGUCUGGUUACAUUAGCCACUUGGGAAAUUUGUUUCAUGGUUCCAUCUUGCUGAUUUUCUUCACAGUGGAUAAAGGAUGCUGUCACGUAUUUAUGCCUUGUCUUUGAGCAGUUGAGGUCCGUGCAGUGACCGUAAAGGUACUGAAUUUAAACCUUGUUAAUCAGUGUUUGUUGUCCAUAUGGUUUUGCUUUGUACAGAUUUAUUAAAUGUCACUUCCUAGAUUCCCUUGGUUCUAAUGUAGAAGAAUUUUAACAUUGCACUUUAGAACAAAACAUGCAAAUUU